UACGAGAAGCUAGGUUCGAAUCCUGCUGAGAACAUUUUUCGCGACUUCAUUUUCCGACGCUAUUAGGCACUUCAUUACCUCCUUGUGUUUUCCCUCCGCUAGAAACCCUUCCCUCUUCUUUCUCGGUUUCAUUCUUCUCGAUUGAAAUCUCUUCCCUCUUCUUUGUUCUUGACUUUAAUCAUCAAUUCCCAACAGUAACAUGAAUUGAUUGAAGUAAUUCCAGAUUGUUUCACAGAAAUCUCACAACAAAUACCCCAGAAGUCCAAAUCAAACCCAAAAUUUGGAGAGCGUUUGAGAAAUGGGUGAGCUGAUUGAAUUAACUUACUUCUUCGAUUACAUAAAAGUUGGAAAUCUCGAUUUGGGGUUCGGGCUUCCCGUUUCAGUUAGGGUUCCCAAGCUUUUCUCUUCACACAAUUUUCUAUCGGAAACUGUUGAACUGGUUUCAAGUUUCCUAGAACGAGAUUUCAAUUUUUGCAUACUUUCUCCCAUUCUUUCAUCGUCCUCAACUGAGUUCACACAAUUUCUACCAAAAAAAUUUGGUUUGAAUUUUUUCAGGCUUCAUGUUUGGUUCCCUUCACUCUUCCUAAUUAGAUUCUCUAACCCAACUUAUCAAUUUCCGGUUAAACGCAUUCUGGAACAAAUUUGCAAGCUAACUGGAUAUCCAUUCCUCUAAAGACUUGGUAAGAAAAGGCUAUAUAUAGUUUGAUAUUUUCAUCACAAUUUAUGAGCCUUAGUUGUUUGUGAAAAUGUCAAACAAAUUAUAAUUCAAUUUAAUGGGUUUUAUUUCCUUCGACAUUCCAGACUAAUUUAGCAGGGCAGCAUAUAAGUUGUGUAUAGUUUUAAAGACACAUAACCUUGAUUGAGCUGUUUGAGGUAAGAAUUGUGUUGGAAAUUUUUUGGUCAUCUUUGAUUGAGUUGUCUUUGUGUAUCUUUAUGUUUUAUAACAGGGAUAUGUGUGAUAGAAGAUGCUUAAGGUCCUAUUCGUUGGGGAUCAUAUUAGCAAAGCUGAAUCUGAAUUGUCUAUGGGGGAACAAUAUAAUCAGCAAUCAGCGCAUUCUGGGACAGAUUUACAUGCUAAUUGGAUAUUGGUUCCUCUAAAUACUUGGUAAGAAAAUGCUACAUAGAUUUUGAUCUUCUCAUCACAGUUUAUGAGCUUUAGGUACAUGUAUUUUGGUCUUCUCUAAUUUGUAGAAUUUUAUGAUCUGCCAGUCACAUGCAUCUCAAGAUAUAUCCCCAUUUAAGAACUUUUUUGAUCAAUGACUGGUAGAUCCGAGUAAGCACAAAAUCUUGGACACAUCCUAACUAAAUUCAGGCUCAAACAAUGUCUCAUUAAGUUCAAACUUUGAAUACUUCCAUAAAGGCAAAAUCUGGACAUAAAAUUGUGCCACUGGAUUAACAGUAAGAUACCUUAGAUGUCCCGAUUAUUGGUAGUCGUUAAAGUGGGAUUUGAUUUUUCAUAGAUUCUUGUUUCGUAUACAUUUGAAACAUUUUAAUAUUUUUUUUUCAAUUAGGCCAAAGUGAAUCAUGUGGUUUGUAUUCUUUGGAGACGCUAUGAAUAAAGGUUAUUAUCCUGAUUUAUACAAUCACUUUUAUUACUAUACUGAUUUAAAUAUUGAGUAUCAAGGAGGAGAUUGAACCAGCUAAGUAUUAAAUAAAAUGACGUAAUGUGGGUCAUGCUCUUAAGCUGUUCUGAAAACACUUCAAAAAAAGUAACCUUCUUCUGCAUUUAGUUUCAGAAAUUGGUGGUCAUCGGAUUGCAAGACAGAGUUCUUGAUACUUGAUGAAGGAGUCUCAGCAAAAUCAGUAUGGUGAAGGAAAUAGCUCAUGAUGUCAGGAUCAAAGCAGAUUCACCUAUUGAUUUUGAAGUGUAGAAACAAAUAAACAUUUAUAGAAGUUAGUCGGUGGUAUUUUAGUACGUGGUGCUGCUUUCGUGGGAGGACUUUUCCGCAAAAGUAUUUUAGUUUUUUAUCCUUAUAGCUUUUGUAACAUAACACAAGUCGGCAAGCACAUCCCACGUGCGUGUUAUACUAGUAUCACAAAAUAAAUAUACAUAAAUAUCACAAAUUUUUAUAUAUAAAUAUAAAUUUGAAUACU